rnacentral:rRNA from 1 species
GGCGAACGCUGGCGGCGUGCUUAACACAUGCAAGUUGAACGGGGCAUAUUUGAAGGGUAACCGGAGGGUAUGUCUAGUGGCGAACGGGUGAGUAAUGCAUGAGAACGUAUCCUCAAGAGGGGGACAACAUUGGGAAACCGAUGCUAAUACCCCAUAAGCCGGGAGGUAAAAGGAGCAAUCCGCUUGAGGAGCGGUUCAUGUCCUAUCAGCUAGUUGGUGAGGUAACGGCUCACCAAGGCGAAGACGGGUAGCCGGCCUGAGAGGGUGAACGGCCACACUGGAACUGAGAGACGGUCCAGACUCCUACGGGAGGCAGCAGUGGGGAAUAUUGGGCAAUGGGGGAAACCCUGACCCAGCGACGCCGCGUGAGGGAAGAAGGCCUUAGGGUCGUAAACCUCUGUUGUGUGGGAAGAAGAGCGUGACGGUACCACACGAGGAAGUCCCGGCUAACUACGUGCCAGCAGCCCAGUAA